CUCUGACCGUUUACCUUGCUUCCUUGAGCUUCUGGCAAAAAUAUCUCUAAUGAGAGUGAGAGCAGGACUUUUUUUUCUGUAUUUGUAUUAAAUUUUUGUAUCACACAGCCUGGUUACAAUGCUGCCGCCCAUCCCAUGUGUUCCCUAUUAAGGGUUAAUAAGUAUAUAGGGGGGUAUAUAAAAAAUACCCCUCUCUGUCUCAGUGGAGAUAUCUUUGCCAGAAGCUCAAGGAAGCAGGGUGAAAGGUCAGUGU